AAUGUUUUUCUUCCCUAGAUUUCAUCCCAACGAGUAAUAAAGAAACCAUUCUCCAUCCUCAGAAAUUGGCAGGGAAGGAGUUAAACUUCUUCCUUGGGUUAGAAUAAUGGCCACAGGUGUUCCCUCUGGGGGCAGGAGAGGUGAUUUGAACCAGGUGUGGGGAAUUUAAUUAAUUAAGUAGUUUGCUGUGUUUGGAGCUGGGGCUUGAGUGCAGCAGUCUGCAGGAGAGAAGUCCUCAAGCGUUUGCUGUUGACUGCUCUGCAAAUACUUUGCCAAGUAACUGGUACCUUAAAAAAGACAUAUUCAUCCUUCAGCAUUUAUGAUGGGUGCUCAUGGUCCUUGUGGUGUUUAAACAAAACAUUACUGGAGGUAGAGAGAGAUCAUAAGAAGCAGAUUGAGGAUUUCUUUGCCACGGUCUAUUCAUGCAGAGGGUCUGCCACCGAGCACACUGGAGAGCCCCCCGUGCUCCUGUGAGAUGCCCCUUCCACCCCACCAGCUCAGCAUUCACGAGUUGUGCCUGGGACCUCAAGCCUGCUCCACUGAUGUCACACAGCCAGCAUCUAUUCUUACACAAAGGGAAGAAGAACUAUCUAUUUAUUGCUGUUGAGCAGAUUUGCCACAAAUUCCGUUUCCACUACAACAUCAAAACACCAAGAACAAGGCCACAUUCCCUUCAAGGAAAUGGGUGGGGAGAGAGAAGAAGAAGUGCCCUGUGAUGCUGAUUCUACACAAGAGGCCUCCAUUUGGACAAUUCUUGAUUUAUGAAUUAACAGAUCCCCAAAUACAUGGAAUUCAGUUCUCUUCCGCUUCUUCCAGAAGACCAUCAUCCUUUGAGUGUUGCUGCAGGAAAGUUCAUGUGUACACACAUACCAACACUGAAUAUUUGCAAGGUUAUGGCAAGGUGCUCCCUGCCCACCUGGGAGCAGUCGACACAACUCUGUGGUGCCACCCCUGCUGCUGCCAAGCAGUCAGGGGGUGCCUCACCAUGGUGGCAUGGGGCUCACUGGGCUUCUUCACCCUACUCUGCCAGGUCCUGCCCUUAAAAUGAGAAAAUCUGCAUUUUUCUGCGCUAAACAGAAAACUAGGAUCCCUGGUGAACUGUAAUGUUCCUUUAAAGCCAGGAUGCUUGGAAUCAUGUUUGUAUGGGAGAACACCCUUCCUGGUUGUUGUGGGUCAUAUUGUCAGCUUUUCUUAACAUGUACCCUAUCAGCUGAAAAAAACUGGAGGCCAAUGAAAAAAAAAAAAACACAAAAACAAGUAAUUUGUAAACCUUAUGAGUUUGAACCAUGCAUGCUGGCAAUGCUGCAAACAUCUCUAUGCAUGGAAGUCAGUUCAGGGUCAGGCCCAAUGUCGCAGAGAAUAGUGAGACACUCUUAGCACAAACCAUUUCAAGAAAGUAAUUCCCAAUUUUAGUAGCAAACUCUUACGCUACUGUUAGAAUGCUGAUGUAAUGCAUGCUUGCAAACACAUUUGAUCCCCUGAUUCAUGCCUGAGGAAAUGUCUGGAAAAAAGAAAAAUCUAGUAACUGAUCCUAGGUAAAAGAAAAAUCAGGUGACUGUUCAAGAGAAGGAAAAGCAUUUCCACAGAACAGAGGGAUCCUGAGUGCUGGAUAUCUUAAUGCAAAUUAAUAGGGAAGUUGUGGUUUGUGUGUUUCCAGACUUACUGCACAAAGGCUGUAAACGCCAGACUGACUUUGAACUUGGAUAUUCAGCUCGGUGUUGCAAGCCAGAGUGGGACAGAACUUGUGGUCCAGAGAGGGAGUGGAAAUGGUGCUCUGAUAUCGGGUAAGCAGAAACCAAUUGGUUAUUUCCUGGGACAGAUAUCCUAUUGCACACCUCCCCGAAGUGAAAUAGUUAGAGCUGAAUGAAAUUUCAAAUGUAAAAGAAAUGUGCUUUGCAACACAAAAGACAAAUGUUUGGGCCUGACAACCAAAGCUCUUUAUGUUUUGUAUAGAAUUAAGGUGUUGGGUUUUGUGAAUACAUUAUUUACGUGUAUGUGUAUGCAUGGUAAUCCUGCAUGUUAAUGCAACACUGCUUCUGAAAAGAUCUCCUGUUCUGACUGCUGUCUGCUGGGCCACAUCUGUCCUCAUCUGUACUCCUGUUAAAUUAGGUGUAACUCCAACUUGAGACCAGUACCCUGGAAUUAUUGUGGAUUUACACAGAUGUAAGAAGGAAUUGGCCUUCCACCUUUAUAGUUAGUGUUGAUAAGAACAGCAAAUUUACACUGCUACCUUUUACUGCUUUGAUCUCUUGUUUCGCUGUAACAAAGAUUUAUCUUGUCAUCUUGGACUAGAAAUUGUGACUAAACUUGAGGUGGUGUGGUGCUUACCCUAGUGUCAGUCAGCUGACUGUGCUGGGUCCCUUGUGCCGACAAACAGCAAAAACAAUGCAACUUGAUAAGCAGAGCAGCAAAGCAGCUGUUUCUGUGUUGUGUGCUGCUGCACAUUUUAUGCAUGGUUAAAGUUUAAGAGGAGGGAAAACUUUCAACUUGGAGGAUGUGCAAAGUACUUGCCCCAAAAGGUAAUUCUUGAAGUGGAAAUUAAAAUUAAGCUAGAGGAGUUUAGGAAGCAUUUGCACAAGUGCCUUAAAAGGGGGAGACAAGGUUCCUUGGGUGAAUUUGAUAUCUUUUUAUUAGACCAACCCAAAUAGUUGGAGAAUAGUUAUUAAGCAAGCUUUCGGGUUCAAAAACCAUUCAUCAGGCUAAGGAAGGUUCAGCAGUCGGUUUGUGCUCUUCCUGGAUGGAAAGAAAAGUAAAGAAGCCAGGGGCUGGGGCUGGGCUGGGCUGGGCUGGGGAGUCAGUUGCCAGGCAGAUUAUAAAGUAUGAAAAAUCCAAUGUCUAUGUUUAGUCCAUGAUCUCUAGUAUCCAGCAGGUUGAUGAAAUGGAGCUCAUAGGCUCGUCUCUGGGAAGUGUUGUGUAAGUUUCCCUUGAGGAUCAGGACUGAGAGAUUGGAGAGAGAGCGGCCCUCCUGUGAGAAAUGUGCCCCCACCGGUAAUUGGGUAUUUCUGUCUUUGAUAGAUUUCCAGUGUGCAUUCAUUCUGGUGCGCAGUUGUUGUUUGGUCUCUCCUACAUAUCUUCCAUCAGGGCAUUUGGUGCAUUGGAUGAGGUAUAUUACAUUUCUGGAGGCGCAGCUGUAAGAUCCUGCGAUGCUGAUGACUCUGUUGUGGGGUGUAGUAAUAGUGGGGGUGGUGGAGUUACGUUGGCAGGUUUUGCAUUUCUUGUCCUGGCACAGUCUGGAUCAUUUUGGUGUGUUCUGGGCUUGAGGAAGUUUGCUUCUGGUGAUGAGGUUGGCAAGGGAGGGGAGAA